rnacentral:rRNA from 1 species
CGAUAGUGUGACGAAUCACACUAUCGUUAACUGAAUACAUAGGUUAACGAGGCGAACCGGGGGAACUGAAACAUCUAAGUACCCCGAGGAAAAGAAAUCAACCGAGAUUCCCCCAGUAGCGGCGAGCGAACGGGGAGCAGCCCAGAGUCUGAAUCAGCUUGUGUGUUAGUGGAACGGUCUGGAAAGUCCGACGGUACAGGGUGAUAGUCCCGUACACCAAAAUGC